rnacentral:rRNA from 1 species
CAUGCCGUAAACGAUGAGUGCUAAGUGUUAGGGGGUUUCCGCCCCUUAGUGCUGCAGCUAACGCAUUAAGCACUCCGCCUGGGGAGUACGACCGCAAGGUUGAAACUUAAAGGAAUUGACGGGGGCCCGCACAAGCAGUGGAGCAUGUGGUUUAAUUCGACGCUACGCGAAGAACCUUACCAGGACUUGACAUGGAAUUUAAAACUCUAGAGAUAGAGCCAUAACAAGUUCACACAGGUGG